rnacentral:rRNA from 1 species
UACGUAGGGGGCGAGCGUUGUCCGGAUUUACUGGGCGUAAAGGGUAUGCAGGCGGCCGGGUAAGUCAGAUGUGAAAUCCUAUAGCUCAACUAUAGUAAGCAUUUGAAACUGCUUGGCUUGAGUCAAGGAGAGGAAAGUGGAAUUCCUAGUGUAGUGGUGAAAUACGUAGAUAUUAGGAGGAAUACCAGUGGCGAAGGCGACUUUCUGGACUUGUACUGACGCUGAGGUACGAAAGCACGGGGAGCAAACAGG